CAGAGUUCAUGCCCUAACGGGUAGACCUCCCACCCUUUGUUAUACCUACCUUUGUUGCUUUGGCAGGCCGCCUUCGGGCUACCGGCUUCGGCUGGUGCGUGCCUGCCAGAGGACCCCAAACUCUGAAUUUUUGUAUCGUCUGAGUAAAACAUAAUAAGUUA
rnacentral:misc_RNA from 1 species